rnacentral:misc_RNA from 1 species
GAUGAAGAACGCAGCAAAAUGCGAUAAGUAAUGUGAAUUGCAGAAUUCAGUGAAUCAUCGAAUCUUUGAACGCACAUUGCGCCCGCCAGUAUUCUGGCGGGCAUGCCUGUUCGAGCGUCAUUACAACCCUCAGGCCCCCGGGCCUGGCGUUGGGGAUCGGCGGAAGCCCCCUGUGGGCACACGCCGUCCCUCAAAUACAGUGGCGGUCCCGCCGCAGCUUCCAUUGCGUAGUAGCUAACACCUCGCAACUGGAGAGCGGCGCGGCCAUGCCGUAAAACACCCAACUUCUGAAUGUUGACCUCGAAUCAGGUAGGAAUACCCGCUGAACUUAAGCAUAUCAAUAAGCGGAGGA